AAGGCUAUAGUCAAAUUUAUGACAUAUGAGUUGUAUUCAUAAAGUGUUUUUUAAACUAGCUUUA
rnacentral:tRNA from 1 species